GUCAGUAUGUUUCCCAGUUUACACAGGUGGUGAAACCUGGUGAUAAUUGCAGGUCGUCACAGAAUGCAUCUGAACCAAAGACGGAGUGAUAUUUCCUCUUUCAUUACCUCAACGCUCCCAAAACUAAGGGAACUUGACCCUUUUCUUGAGGCUCUUCAAGAAUUAAGAGUUCACGACCUUGAAGACUUAAACUACAUUCAAGAGAGUGACCUUCUUCAUGUCCUGAAGCCAGUGGAAGCAAGUUAAAACCACAAGUACCUUUCAGGUGGCUACAGCUCAGCAAGUUCAAAUUCACCAAGGUCAACAUCUAGUUCAAGUAUGGGCUGCACACCUUGUCG